rnacentral:rRNA from 1 species
ACUCCUACGGGAGGCAGCAGUGGGGAAUAUUGCACAAUGGGGGAAACCCUGAUGCAGCCAUGCCGCGUGUGUGAAGAAGGCCUUCGGUUGUAAAGCACUUUCUAGUAGGGAGGAAGGUAGUGUAGUUAACACCUGCACUAUUUGUACGUUACCUACAGAAGAAGCACCGGCUAACUCCGUGCCAGCAGCCGCGGUAAGUACGGAGGGUGCGAGCGUUAAUCGGAAUUACUGGGCGUAAAGCGCAUGCAGGCGGCCUGUUAAGUCAGAUGUGAAAGCCCGGGGCUUAACCUCGGAAUUGCAUUUGAAACUGGCAGGCUAGAGUCUUGUAGAGGGGUUAGAAUUUCAGGUGUAGCGGUGAAAUGCGUAGAGAUCUGAAGG